GUUUUUUUUUUUUUUUUUUUUUUUUUUUUUUUCUCUCUUUCG
rnacentral:ribozyme from 1 species